CCUACGGGCGGCAGCAGUGGGGAAUAUUGCACAAUGGGGGAAACCCUGAUGCAGCGACGCCGCGUGAGUGAAGAAGUAAUUCGUUAUGUAAAGCUCUAUCAGCAGGGAAGCAAAUGACGGUACCUGAGUAAGAAGCCCAGGCUAACUACGUGCCAGCAGCCGCGGUAAAACGUCGGGGGCAAGCGUUAUCCGGAUUUACUGGGUGUAAAGGGAGCGUAGACGGCAGUGAAAGUCUGGAGUGAAAGGCGGGGGCGCAACCCCCGGACUGCUCUGGAAACUGUACGGCUGGAGUGCAGGAGAGGUAAGUGGAAUGCGUGGUGUAGCGGUGAAAUGCGUAGAUAUUAGGAGGAACACCAGUGGCGAAGGCGGCUUACUGGACUGUAACUGACGUUGAGGCUCGAAAGCGUGGGGAGCAAACAGGAUUAGAUACCCGAGUAGUC
rnacentral:rRNA from 1 species